UAAAAUUAAACACAGAAAACAUUAAAAAACUAAACAAAAAAUAUCGUGAUCAGAGAGCCCAAUCCUGGAAAUGAGCGAGCCGCGAAACCCACCGUCGGGACUAAGAGUCUCCAUGACCGAACCUAUCCGCUCCUUUCUCCUCUCAGCUUCGAAAGACGGAGAUGUGCCUCGAGAACUGCAGGAUCUCGCUCUCAAUCUCUCCUCUCAAAAUAACCUGCACUACAAGUCCUUCCGAAGUAUAUGGAUCCGAUCCCCACCCUCAACCCGACCACCCGACUUGAUCCGCCUCUUCUCCGGUUCCAAUUUCAUCUUAUCCAGCCCCAAGCCCAGAGAAAAGAGUGAAGAGCUCAAGGCGAGAUUGAGGAAACUUGAAGAAAUGGCGGAGAGGAAUGCGUAUGCAGAGCUAGUUAAGGAUAUUACGCCGCGGAAGAAUACCGAUGAGCCCUUCUCUUCUUAUAAGGAUCAGAUUGGCUUUGGUAUGCAUGUUGUUCUUAUCAUGUUUACUGGCUAUCUGGUUGGAUUUGCAGCGUUUAGAGCUUUGUUUGGCCACAGUCCUGCCAUGAGUGCUGCUGGAGGCAUUCUUGGAUUGGUUUUUGGAAUGCUUGUAGAAACUCUUCUUUUCAUAAUUCGAACUUCCAACCCCGAUUCUAGAUCAUCAACUUCUAACACUUCUAAGCUAAAGAAGAAUCAAUAGAAUUGGCACAGACAGAUGCAUCAGUAGGCUUGAAUAUAAUUUUUCUUUUCAACGACCAGUUUGCGUUUGACAAGUCUGGAUUUUGAUGAAGAAGCAUGAAGAAGAGAUACAAGUGCCUUAAUACCUGCACGAAUGUUGUUACCAUGACCGUUGACAUCGAAACUGUAUUCCUGAGCCCUUGCUUUGCAGCAAGGUUUGCUACCAGUCCGUAGCAAGCAUGAGAAAUUGAUAACUGAAGCUCCAACUACAGAAACUUUUCCCUUCAAAUUCAAGACAAACAAAAUCUGUCAUAGUGACAAGACCGGGAGAAAGAAAGCUACUGAGCAAUGAUUAAGGAAGAAGAGGGAGAGACCGAGAGGGGGAUUGAGGACAAAACGUUCAUGGACCUAUAUGAGAGAUUGCUGGUGUUGUUGACUUGCUGAGAAGAGAGUUACAGGAAGAGAGCGAAAUGGAAGUAGAGAGUCAGCUGGAAAGAGGGAAGUAGAAGUGUAGAACACUAAUUUUUAUUUAUAUAUAGCCUGGUACAAUUGUAAUUUUCUUUCAAACUUUAGGGUUAUUGAUGUAGUUUAGAUCGA